AGAGUUUGAUCCUGGCUCAGAACGUACGCUGGCGGCACGCCUAACACAUGCAAGUCGAACGAAGUAGCAAUACUUAGUGGCAGACGGGUGAGUAACAUGUAGGUAUCUACCCUUUGGUCUGGAAUAACACGAGGAAACUUGUGCUAAUACCGGAUAAGUCUUUACGGAGAAAGCUUUAUGCGCCAUUGGAGGAGCCUGCACUUGAUUAGUUUGUUGGUGGGGUAAUGGCCUACCAAGACUUUGAUCAAUAGCUGAUUUGAGAGGAUGAUCAGCCACAUUGGGACUGAGACACGGCCCAAACUCCUACGGGAGGCAGCAGUGGGGAAUCUUGCACAAUGGAGGAAACUCUGAUGCAGCGAUGCCGCGUGAGUGAAGAAGGCCUUUGGGUUGUAAAGCUCUUUCGUCGGGGAAGAAAAUGACUGUACCCGAAUAAGAAGGUCCGGCUAACUUCGUGCCAGCAGCCGCGGUAAUACGAAGGGACCUAGCGUAGUUCGGAUUUACUGGGCUUAAAGAGUUCGUAGGUGGUUGAAAAAGUUGGUGGUGAAAUCCCAGAGCUUAACUCUGGAACUGCCAUCAAAACUUUUCAGCUAGAGUAUGAUAGAGGAAAGCAGAAUUUCUAGUGUAGAGGUGAAAUUCGUAGAUAUUAGAAAGAAUACCAAUUGCGAAGGCAGCUUUCUGGAUCAUUACUGACACUGAGGAACGAAAGCAUGGGUAGCGAAGAGGAUUAGAUACCCUCGUAGUCCAUGCCGUAAACGAUGUGUGUUAGACGUUGGAAAUUUAUUUUCAGUGUCGCAGCGAAAGCGAUAAACACACCGCCUGGGGAGUACGACCGCAAGGUUAAAACUCAAAUGAAUUGACGGGGACCCGCACAAGUAGUGGAGCAUGUGGUUUAAUUCGAAGAUACGCGCAGAACCUUACCAACACUUGACAUGUUCGUCGCGACUCUAAGAGAUUAGAGUUUUCGGUUCGGCCGGACGAAACACAGGUGCUGCAUGGCUGUCGUCAGCUCGUGUCGUGAGAUGUUGGGUUAAGUCCCGCAACGAGCGCAACCCUCACUUUUAGUUGCCAUCAUUAAGUUGGGCACUCUGAAAGAACUGCCAGUGAUAAGCUGGAGGAAGGUGGGGAUGACGUCAAGUCCUCAUGGCCCUUACGUGUUGGGCUACACACGUGCUACAAUGGUAUCUACAACAGGAAGCAAGACUGCGAGGUCAAGCAAAUCCUUAAAAGAUACCUCAGUUCGGAUUACACUCUGCAACUCGAGUGCAUGAAGCUGGAAUUACUAGUAAUCGUGGAUCAGCGUGCCACGGUGAAUGCGUUCCCGGGUCUUGUACACACCGCCCGUCACACCAUGGGAGUUGGUUCUACCUUAAGGCAAGGUUUUAAACCCUUGACCACGGUAUAGUCAGCGACUGGGGUGAAGUCGUAACAAGGUAACC
rnacentral:rRNA from 1 species